UUAAAAAGCUCGUAGUUGGAUUUCGGAGUGAGCUAGUUGGUCCGCCGCAAGGUGUGUUACUGACUAGUUUGCUCUUCUUCGCAAAGACUGCGUGUGCUCUUGAGUGAGUGUGCGUAGGAUUUACGACGUUUACUUUGAAAAAAUUAGAGUGUUCAAAGCAGGCUAUUGCUUGAAUACAUGAGCAUGGAAUAAUGGAAUAGGACUUUGGUCCCAUUUUGUUGGUUUCUAGGACCGAAGUAAUGAUUAAGAGGGACAAUUGGGGGCAUCCGUAUUUCGUUGUCAGAGGUGAAAUUCUUGGAUUUACGAAAGACGAACAACUGCGAAAGCACUUGCCAAGAGUGU
rnacentral:rRNA from 1 species